GUCCCGGGGCCGUUCCGGGGUCCCGGGGCCGUUCCGGGGGCGCUGACGCCGCUGUCCCCUCCCUGUCCCCUCCCUGUCCCCGCUCUGUCCCAGGCACGGCCGUGACCUAACCCCGCUCCGAUGGAGCGGCCCCGGUACCGGGAGGCGGCCAGGGGCGGCCCCGGGGGGAGCGGGCCCGGGGGGGGCUCCAGCGCCGCCGGCAACGGGAGCUGCGGCCACCCCCCUGCUGCCACCGGCACCGGCACCGACACCGGCACCGGCACCGGGACCGGUACCGGCACGGCGGGAGGCGGCGACGAGAGCGGCGAGCGCGACCCUCCUGUCACCGGCCCCGGUGGCGACCGCGGUCCCGGGAGUGUCCCCACCCCCGGCAAUGUCCCCAAUCCCGGGAGUGUCCCCAAUCCUCACAAUGUCCCCAACCCCUCCAGUGUCCCCACCCCGGGCAGUGUCCCCCACCCCUGGCAAUGUCCCCAGAGCUCAGGGUGUCCCCACCCCUGGCAAUGUCCCCAACCUCGACAGUGUCCCCACCCUGGGCAGUGUCCCCAAACUUCAGGGUGUCCCCAACCCUCAGGGUGUCCCCACCCCGGGCAGUGUCCCCAAAUUUCAGGGUGUCCCCACCCCUGGCAAUGUCCCCAACCCUCAGGGUGUCCCCACCCCGGGCAGUGUCCCCAAAUUUCAGGGUGUCCCUACCCCUGGCAAUGUCCCCAACCCUCAAGGUGUCCCCACCCCUGGCAAUGUCCCCACCCCUGGCAGUGUCCCCAAAUUUCAGGGUGUCCCCAACCGUGGCAAUGUCCCCAAUCCCGGCAGUGUCCCCAACCCUCAGGAUGUCCCCACCCCCGGCAAUGUCCCCAACCUCGACAGUGUCCCCAAUCCUCACAAUGUCCCCAACCCUCAAGGUGUCCCCACCCCGGGCAGUGUCCCCAACCUCGACAGUGUCUCCAAUCCUCACAAUGUCCCCAACCCUCAAGGUGUCCCCACCCCGGGCAGUGUCCCCAAACCCGACAAUGUCCCCAAACCUGUCAGCGUCCCCAGAGCUCAGGGUGUCCCCACCCCCAGCAGUGUCCCCAAACUUCAGGGUGUCCCCAACCCUCAGGGUGUCCCCACCCCCAGCAGUGUCCCCAAACUUCAGGGUGUCCCCAACCCUGGCAAUGUCCCCACCCCUGGCAAUGUCCCCAACCUCGACAGUGUCCCCACCCCCAGCAAUGUCCCCAACCCUCAGGGUGUCCCCACCCUGGGCAGUGUCCCCAAACUUCAGGGUGUCCCCAACCCUCAGGGUGUCCCCACCCUGGGCAGUGCCCCCAAACUUCAGGGUGUCCCCAACCCUGGCAAUGUCCCCACCCCUGGCAGUGUCCCCAACCCCGGCAAUGUCCCCACUCCUGGCAAUGUCCCCAAAGCUCGGGGUCUCCCCACCCUCAACAAUGUCCCCAAACCUGUCAGCAUCCCCAGAGCUCAGGGUGUCCCCACCCCCAGCAGUGUCCCCAAACUUCAGGGUGUCCCAACCCUCAGGAUGUCCCCACCCCUGGCAGUGUCCCCAAAUUUCAGGGUGUCCCAACCCUCAGGGUGUCCCCACCCCUGGCAGNNNNNNNNNNNNNNNNNNNNNNNNNNNNNNNNNNNNNNNNUGUCCCCACCCCUGGCAG
ensembl:lncRNA